rnacentral:rRNA from 1 species
GGUGAACGCUGGCGGCAUGCCUAAUACAUGCAAGUCGAGCGACCAGACGAGGAGCUUGCUCCUCUGCCGUUAGCGGCUGACGGGUGGGUAACACAUGGAUAACCUACCUAUAAUACUGGGAUAACUUCGGGAAGAAGGAGCUACUACCGGCUAAUAUAUUCAACGGCAUGGUUCAAUAGUGAAAGACGGUUUUGCUGUCACUUAUAGAUGGUUCCGCGCCGCAUUAGCUAGUUGGUAAGGUAACGGCCUACCAAGGCGACGAUGCGUAGCUGACCUGAGAGGAUGAUCGGCCACACUGGAACUGAGACACGGUCCAGACUCCUACGGGAGGCAGCAGUAGGGAAUCUUCCGCAAUGGGCGAAAGCCUGAUGGAGCAACGCCGCGUGAGUGAUGAAGGUCUUCGGAUCGUAAAGCUCUUUUGUUAGGGAAGAACAAAUGCAUAAUUAUCUAUGCACGUCUUGACGGUACCUAAUCAGAAAGCCACGGCUAACUUCGUG